GCAACAGCUCAGAUUUGAAAUCUGGCCUUCGGGCCCGAGUUGUAAUCUGCAGAGGAUGCUUCGGGUGCGGUGCCUUCCAAGUGCCCUGGAACAGGACGUCAUAGAGGGUGAGAAUCCCGUAUGUGACUGGAUACCUAUGCUCAUGUGAAGCUCUUUCGAC
rnacentral:rRNA from 1 species